rnacentral:rRNA from 1 species
GAUGAACGCUGGCGGCGUGCCUAAUACAUGCAAGUCGAGCGAACAGACGAGGAGCUUGCUCCUCUGACGUUAGCGGCGGACGGGUGAGUAACACGUGGAUAACCUACCUAUAAGACUGGGAUAACUUCGGGAAACCGGAGCUAAUACCGGAUAAUAUAUUGAACCGCAUGGUUCAAUAGUGAAAGACGGUUUUGCUGUCACUUAUAGAUGGAUCCGCGCCGCAUUAGCUAGUUGGUAAGGUAACGGCUUACCAAGGCAACGAUGCGUAGCCGACCUGAGAGGGUGAUCGGCCACACUGGAACUGAGACACGGUCCAGACUCCUACGGGAGGCAGCAGUAGGGAAUCUUCCGCAAUGGGCGAAAGCCUGAAGGAGAAACGCCGCGUGAGUGAUGAAGGUCUUCGGAUCGUAAAACUCUGUUAUUAGGGAAGAACAAAUGUGUAAGUAACUAUGCACGUCUUGACGGUACCUAAUCAGAAAGCCACGGCUAACUACGUG